rnacentral:rRNA from 1 species
AUACGUAGGGGGCAAGCGUUAUCCGGAUUUACUGGGUGUAAAGGGAGCGCAGACGGCUAUGUAAGUCUGAAGUGAAAGCCCGCGGCUCAACCCUGUGAUGCCUUAGAAACUGGUUUACUUGAGUUUGGUAGAGGUAAGUGGAACUCCAUGUGUAGCGGUAAAAUGCGUAAAUAUAUGGAAGAACACCAGUGGCGAAGGCGGCUUACUGGGCCACAACUGACGCUGAGGCACGAAAGCGUGGGGAGCAAACAGGAUUAGAUACCCUGGUAGUCCACGCUGUAAACGAUGAAUACUAAGUGUUGGAAAAAUCCAGUGCUGAAGUUAACGCAUUAAGUAUUCCGCCUGAGUAGUACGUACGCAAGUAUGAAACUCAAAUGAAUUGACGGGG